AAAGCAGUUACUUCACUUCUUCUUGGAGGCCCUCCUGGAGUGGAUGGUCUGAGAGGAAACCUCUGAGAUGGAGAACCUCUCUAGACAUUGAUCAUCCUCCAGUGAACCCCAAAUUCCUCUGGUUCCAGCAGAAGAUGAUACGUGUAGAUUGGGACUUUGUGGAAAGUCAUCUACUAAAGAAGACUCUCUCUCUUCCCAAAAUUGUCCUUGAACUUCAUUUUACAACUAGAUUAGCCUAGGAGAAAAGACAACUUCAACAACUGACCAAAAGAGGGUCAGGCAGACAGCCCAAACCCUCAAAUUUGGGGGGAGCUAAAUUUUGGAGUCUUGCAUUCUUGCAAAAGGUACCCUUCCUGAGCCCCAGGGACUCAACUUUAGUACCCCACAACAGGACCUGACUCACCAAUGAAAAUGACAGUCAAGGAAGAAGCUCCAGAGGGGUUGCUGCCUGUGCUAGUUCAUUUAUCUAAGGGGCUUCUAAGGAAGAAUUCUAUCAGAGCAGAAAAGUAAUCUGCCAAGUUGAAGGGACACCAUUGGGUACUCAGCAAAGAGGCCUCUUGUUCCAAAGAGAUUGGGCCACACAGAGCUACAGAUGGAAAGUUGAGUGAGGAUAUAUUGGCUUGUUGUCACCAGGCCUCCAGUGGGGAGAUGACUUCUUUCCCUGAGCCUUCUACUGCACUCCUGCUGAUCUCAAACAAUAUGUUUCAUGAUAAAUGUUUAACAACCAGCUUGAAGGCUGAGGGGAGAAUCUAUACGCAUUUUUAAGUUUAAUUUGCAUUAUGAACACUUUCUAAAGUCUAGGCAAUCAACAAAAUAAUAACAAAAUAAUAAACAAGCUCUGAUUUAAACAAUUGAUGAGUUUUGAGGUUGAAAUACUCACACUGAAAAUUUGACAAGGGUCAGCUAGGUGGCUCAGUGGACAGAGAGAUAAGAAAUCCUGGUUUCAAAUUUGACCUCAGACAAUUCCUAGUUGUGUGAGUCUGGAAAAAUCACU